rnacentral:lncRNA from 1 species
GACUUGUGAACUCAAAAAAAUUAAUUCAAAAAUUAAUUAGAAAGUAUUUCGAUUAAUUGAUUCAUUUGGGCUGAUUUAAUCUAAUCAGAUUGGUUUAGGUCAUGAGCCUGAGUCUACUACUGGCUAGAUAUGAAAUUCAAUGGAUCAUACACAUUAAAAAUUUGAUCUUGAUCUAAUCUAAUUAGAUUUAUUGUAAAUCCUAUGGGUUAAUUAAAUUGCUAGCAUAUGAAUUGAUCCAAAUUUCC